ACUCCUACGGGAGGCAGCAGUGGGGGAAUAUUGCACAAUGGGCGCAAGCCUGAUGCAGCCAUGCCGCGUGUGUGAAGAAGGCCUUCGGGUUGUGAAAUGCAACUUUCAGUUCGUGAGGGAAGGUAGUGUAGUUAAUAGCUGCAUUAUUUGACGUUAGCGACAGAAGAAGCACCGGCUAACUCCGUGCCAGCAGCCGCGGUAAUACGGAGGGUGCGAGC
rnacentral:rRNA from 1 species